rnacentral:rRNA from 1 species
CCCAGACUCCUACGGGAGGCAGCAGUGGGGAAUAUUGCACAAUGGGGGAAACCCUGAUGCAGCGACGCCGCGUGAGCGAAGAAGUAUUUCGGUAUGUAAAGCUCUAUCAGCAGGGAAGAAAUUGACGGUACCUGAAGAAGAAGCCCCGGCUAACUACGUGCCAACAGCCGCGGUAAUACGUAGGGGGCAAGCGUUAUCCGGAUUUACUGGGUGUAAAGGGGGCGCAGACGGCGAUGCAAGCCAGGAGUGAAAGCCCGGGGCCCAACCCCGGGACUGCUCUUGGAACUGCGUGGCUGGAGUGCAGGAGGGGCAGGCGGAAUUCCUGGUGUAGCGGUGAAAUGCGUAGAUAUUAGGAGGAGCACCGGCGGCGAAGGCGGCCUGCUGGACCGUAACUGACGUUGAGGCUCGAAAGCGUGGGGAGCAAACAGGAUUAGAUACCCCGGUAAA